rnacentral:lncRNA from 1 species
AAAAAAAAAUAGUGUUCUCCAGUAUUUUUAGAUCUGAAAACUACAAUUCAAAAUUCAAAACAAAAACAAUAGAAAACCUUCAAAAAUCCAAAAAAAAAAAAAUAUUGUUCCAUUAGACAAUUCGGGUUAAUUUUGACUUUUAGUUGUUGAUUUCCAGUUUUCAGUUCAACACUUGGAUUUUGAAACUCCAACUGUUCACUGGUUUGAUUUCGAACAAUUUUAGGGCUGUUUAAACUGGUUUUGGAUGAGUUUUGGAUUUAUUGUAGUAUUUUGGUGCAUUUCAAGUGGUCUGUUGGUUGAGUUUUUAGUUCUGUUUAAUUUUUAAACUCUUUCUGGGUUGGUCAAGUUCAUUUUCUGGGUUGUUUUGAUCUCUAUUGUUCACUGCUAUGAUCGUGAGUGCUGCCUGAUUCUCUAUUAGGUCUGGUAUUGUUCUGCUACUGCUGACUUCAUCUCUUCUAUUGAAAUUCUAUCUCCAGGUACACACUCGAGUUGUUUCUAAUGUAAUCUCUUUGAUGAAAUGAGAACGAAAUUGCAUUUUGAUUCUUGCUGAAAUUCCUCUUGUGUUCAGUUCAUUUUUAUGCAAUUAGUUUAAGGAUUUGGCUUUAUGGAAUUCAUUACUUGCUUAGCUCUAUUGUGUUUGAGUUGUAUUGGGCCCAGAAUUGUGUAAUUAGGAAUGUUUCUAAGUUGGUUGGACUGUUUGAUUCAUUUGGGACUGUAGUGGAUUAUUAGAUUAUGGAUCUGAUUAUAUUCCUUCUAAAAUAGUAGUUCUAAUCUAGUGUAGUUGUAUCUUCUCGUAGUCGAAAAGAAGUACAUUAGCAGGUUCAUCAUUAAUUUGAAGUUCAGUUUAGUGUGGUAAAUUAGAUCGAGCUGGAAACGUUUAUUCAUUUUAAUCCAACAGUCCAAUGUCUUAUUUGAGAAUUACUAAUCACACCUUUGUAUAAUUUGACUCGUUUUAGUCCUCUAGUUUAAUCUGUCACAAAAUCAAACGGUCCUUGAUGUUAAGAACUGUAAAUUUGAAUGUCAUAUUCAGUAUAUACUUGAAAAGUAGUCAAGUUUUAUCCUGUGAUAGUUUUAAAUUCUAGUCACUCAAGUAUCUUUGAUUUCUAUACACACUUUGAAGAAGCUCCAUCAGUCCAAACGUGAAUUGAGGCCAGAAGGUUGAAAUCAAAUUGGAAGAGAGAUCUGGGCUCGUUUGGAAGCCCAAAUGGUGAUUUCUUCAGUGGGAGUUGGACGUGGGCUUGAAUCUGCUACGGCCCAAUGUCGAAUAGUUUUCCUCUCAUUUAGGCCUGAGAUCAGGCCUAUUGCUGGCUGUGGAAAUUUCGGCCUGUGUAACAAUUUCAAAUGCUGGUUCAUUAAUACUAACAAUUGAUUAGGACAUGUUUCUUGAUUAAUAGAGACAAAUAAAAA